AUGUGGUCGCUACUCACUCCGAUGGAGGCCAGGGAGCGUUUGGUUACUGAAUCUAUCCGGUGGAAGAUGAGGUUCAUGGGAGUCCUAAAGAAAUAUGUCCGUAACCAUGCUAGGCCAGAAGGAAGCAUCUCCAUGGGCCAUCAAACAGAGGAUGUCAUUGGGUUUUGUGUUGACUUCAUUCCUGGCCUUAUGAAGACAGGUCUCCCUAAAUCGCGGUAUGAUGGGAGACUGACUGGAAAAGGCACGCUUGGAGCGGACUUAAUAAUAUGCAGGGACGGGCAUUCUUGGUCUCAAGCACACUACACAGUUUUACAGAACUCUAUCUUGGGGACCCCGUAUGUCGAUGAACACAAGAACAGUCUCAGAGGUGACGUCUGGAUUACAUGUGAACACAUCAGGACUUUCAGCAAUUGGUUGGAAACACGUCUCAGAGGUGACAACAUUGUUUGUGAUGAGUUGUACUCGUUGUCCAGGGGACCAUCUUCGACUGUAUUGACUUACAAAGGAUACGAGAUAAAUGGGAAUACAUAUUACACGAUCGCACAAGAUCAAAAGAGCACCACCCAAAACAACGGUGUCCGCUUUGAUGCAACAACCGAGAGGGGAAAGGACACAUAUUAUGGUUACAUAGUGGAAAUAUGGGAACUUGACUACGGACAUGAUUUUAAGGUCCCUUUGUUUAAGUGCAAAUGGGUCAAUCUGUCAGGAGGUGGGGUACAGGUAGACCCAUAG
rnacentral:rRNA from 1 species